GCAAGUCGAGGGGUCUUAAGUUUUCGGACUUAAGAGACCGGCGCACGGGUGCGUAACGCGUAUGCAAUCUACCUUUUACAGAGGGAUAGCCCAGAGAAAUUUGGAUUAAUACCUCAUAGUGUAUUAGAAUGGCAUCAUUUUAAUACUAAAGUUCCAACGGUAAAAGAUGAGCAUGCGUCCUAUUAGCUAGUUGGUGUGGUAACGGCACACCAAGGCUACGAUAGGUAGGGGUCCUGAGAGGGAGAUC
rnacentral:rRNA from 1 species